GACGAACGCUGGCGGCGUGCUUAACACAUGCAAGUCGAACGGAAAGGCCCUGCUUUUGUGGGGUGCUCGAGUGGCGAACGGGUGAGUAACACGUGAGUAACCUGCCCUUGACUUUGGGAUAACUUCAGGAAACUGGGGCUAAUACCGGAUAGGAGCUCCUGCUGCAUGGUGGGGGUUGGAAAGUUUCGGCGGUUGGGGAUGGACUCGCGGCUUAUCAGCUUGUUGGUGGGGUAGUGGCUUACCAAGGCUUUGACGGGUAGCCGGCCUGAGAGGGUCACCGGCCACGUUGGGGCUGAGCUACGGCCCAGACUCCUACGGGAGGCAGCAGUGGGGAAUAUUGCACAAUGGGCGGAAGCCUGAUGCAGCAACGCCGCGUGCGGGAUGACGGCCUUCGGGUUGUAAACCGCUUUCGCCUGUGACGAAGCGUGAGUGACGGUAAUGGGUAAAGAAGCACCGGCUAACUACGUG
rnacentral:rRNA from 1 species